AGGCAGUGGUCUCAGCGGGAGGAGCUGAAUGAGCCCGGAGCGAGGAGCUGCGUGCAGAGAGCGUGGUGGCGUCCACGGUUCUGAGCAUGAGGAGCCGCGCGUGAUGGCAAGACCCAAUCGUAAAUAACCAAGAAGAUAUUGUUGAUGUGGUGAAAACCAGCCCUUUUGUGCUCAGGGCAUUUUCAUCAAUGACCAUGAACCUGGAUUAUGGACCCUCACAAAUAUGAAGAAACUCUCAAGGAAUCAUGCCAGGAACAGAGGCUUGGCCACAAAGGACAUCUCGACUAUUCAAAAGAUAAAAAUCUGAAUCAGCCAAAAGAAGAUAUGCAUUGGGCAGAAUCUGGGACUGAGAAGACUCCAAGCUUGAAGCUUGCAUGUCCUCAAGGAAGUGUUACUCUCCUGGUGGCCAUACACACAUGGAGUGUGGUCAGGGCUAGCAUUCAGCAUGGAAAGAUCAUGAGCAGGAUGGAGCCCACAAACACCAACUGGAACCCCUUGAGGAGAGACUGAAAUCUGUGCCCAUUCUUGUUAAUUCUGACAUUGGUGACAAAGGUAUCUUGCAGAAGCCAGGCCUUGUGUCAUGGAACUAAACAUGCAAGCCUGGCUUGGGUGCCAGAGAAGUGGAAGGAUGAUCCAGAGGAAGGUAAAACAAUUUCAAGACUAACUGCAAUUCCUUCCUGCCUGUGGGACACAUUAGGAGAUCAGUAACAACGUGUGAGAGAAGUCUAACUGGAAACAUAAAAGAAAGGGAACUCUGGGAAACGUAGCUCAGCCUAGCCAAGUUGGCACAUUACAAAGUCAUCAUACUCAGAAAGAAGGAAAAUAUAUUGGAUCUGAGAAUUUAUACUUACCAAAUUUGAAAAAUGGUUGCCAUUAUUUCUUCAUAUUUGUUUCUGCUCCCUAUUCUUUUAGGAUUCCAAUUACACAUAUGUAAUCACGUCUCACAGAUAAUUAAGACUCUUUCAUUAUUUUUCUAGCCAUUUUCUCUCCAUGUUUCAUGUUAGAUUCUGUUUGCUAUGUUUUCAAGUUCACUGUUCUUUUCUUCUGCAGAGUCCAGCCAGCUGUUAAAUCUAUCUGGUAAAUUUUCAUUUCAGGUUUUGUAUUUUAUAACACUAAAAGUUACUUUUAUAUGAUU